UACAGAGGUCUCAAGCGUUGUUCGGAUUCAUUGGGCGUAAAGGGUGCGUAGGUGGCGGGGCAAGUUGGAUGUGAAAUCCCGGAGCUUAACUCCGGAACUGCAUUCAAUACUGCCUUGCUAGAGUACUGGAGAGGAGAUUGGAAUUUACGGUGUAGCAGUGAAAUGCGUAGAUAUCGUAAGGAAGACCAGUGGCGAAGGCGGAUCUCUGGACAGUUACUGACACUGAGGCACGAAGGCCAGGGGAGGCAAACGGA
rnacentral:rRNA from 1 species